rnacentral:rRNA from 1 species
UACGUAGGGGGCAAGCGUUGUCCGGAUUUAUUGGGCGUAAAGCGCUCGCAGGUGGUUCGUUGCGUCGUGCGUGAAAGACCCCGGCUCAACUGGGGAGGGUCGUGCGAUACGGGCGGACUGGAGGCCAGUAGGGGGAUGCGGAAUUCCGGGUGUAGUGGUGGAAUGCGUAGAGAUCCGGAGGAACCCCAGAGGCGAAGGCGGCGCUCUGGCUCGCAACUGACGCUCAGACACGACAGCAUGGGGAGCGAACGGG